rnacentral:rRNA from 1 species
UACGUAGGGUGCAAGCGUUAAUCAGAAUUACUGGGCGUAAAGCGUGCGCAGGCGGUUUUGUAAGUCUGACGUGAAAUCCCCGGGCUCAACCUGGGAAUUGCGUUGGAGACUGCAAGGCUAGAAUCUGGCAGAGGGGGGUAGAAUUCCACGUGUAGCAGUGAAAUGCGUAGAGAUGUGGAGGAACACCGAUGGCGAAGGCAGCCCCCUGGGUC